rnacentral:rRNA from 1 species
GACGAACGCUGGCGGCGUGCUUAACACAUGCAAGUCGAACGAAGUGGCGAACGGGUGAGUAAUGCAUAAUCAACCUGCCCUUCAGAGGGGGACAACAGUUGGAAACACACGCUAAUACCGAAUACGGCAGGUGGGGAGUGAGUCUGCUUAGCUAGUUGGAGGGGGAACGGCCCACCAAGGCGAUGAUCAGUAGCCGGUCUGAGAGGAUGAACUGCCACAUUGGGACUGAGACACGGCCCAGACGCCUACGGGAGGCAGCAGUGGGGAAUCUUCCGCAAUGGACGAAAGUCUGACGGAGCAACGCCGCGUGAGUGAUGACGGCCUUCGGGUUGUAAAGCUCUGUUAAUCGGGACGCGGUACCGGAAUAGAAAGCCACGGCUAACUACGUGCCAGCAGCCGCGGUAAUAC